GGCUAUAGCUGUUGAGGAGUUGGAGAGGACAAAAUUAUAUGGAGAGCAAUUGCAUAUAUUCAGAAAAGCCUUCCUGUUUUAUAACAUAGGCGCAAGGAUGUAUUAUUCUUGAGCAGCUGGAGGAGUUGAUGGUCAGAUAAGUAGGUGGAUUCUUGGAUCAGUCCACCAAUUUACAGAUUUAAAAUAUUGGGUCAAGGGUAUAGCUGUUGAGAAAAGACCAACCGAUUUUGGUGGAAUCAGAUGAUGACCCUUUCAGUUUUUGGUUAGACAAAGACCAACCAUCUAAGGUGGAAUCAAAGGGUAUUGGCUAUUACGGAAGGAGUAUUCCAUAGAGAAAAUUCAUCCAGAGAGCACGUAACUUGGCAAAAUGAAAUUCUGGACCAGCAUCACAUGAAAUUGUGAAGGCAUUACUGGACACACAAUCUAGAGUAACUCAAGUGAGCAACAAAGCUGGCAGGUACACCGGCCCUUUGUCCCUCUCGGUGUAAUUCAAGAUGUGCAUGCACACUUCUUUCUGCAUUGUAAGAAUGCAUUGUUACUGAUAUCUGAGAGUGGAUAUCAAUAAUAUUUUUUUAACCUGUCCAAAGGCAAUAAAUACUUGGUGCGCCAUCAACUUAUAUAAAAUCUGCUCAUAGCAUUAUCCAGCAUUCAAACGAAAACCGCUAAGGUCUUUUACAAGAGUAGACUAUAAAUCCACAAACUGGGAGUGUUCAAAAUACCGAAACAACAACUUUUCAAAGAAAAAAAUCUGACCCAAGCAUUUUGACUAAAUCUUUAACAUGUUGUGGGAUGUUGGCUUCACACUCGUUGUCCAUGUAGGACAGCAUGUGUAUCACCGCUUUGUUCCGCAGAGUGUAACCAACCUACACAUGAAUUAUACGUCAAUACUGCCCAAGAGUUCAAAUUUACAGUUCAUAAUAUGUUAGCACCAAAAUUUAGUACCCACCUUGACAUUUGCUGGGACUUCUUGGCCAUUCCACCACCGCAUAUAUGAUAGCACCAAAAAUCCUGACAUGAGGCUAUAUAGAAAGCAUACAUUAUUGUUAGCGAAAUUGUAGACAAGAUCUUGAAAAUCAGUAAUAACUACAUGGAUUCUAACCUGUCAUUAUUGAUUGGCAACCCACAUGGUGUGAUGCGACGCUAAAGAAAAACGCC